CCUACGGGGGGCAGCAGUGAGGAAUAUUGGUCAAUGGUCGGGAGACUGAACCAGCCAAGCCGCGUGAGGGAUGAAGGUACAGAGUAUCGUAAACCUCUUUUGUCAGGGAACAAAGGCGGGGACGUGUCCCCGGAUGAGUGUACCUGAAGAAAAAGCAUCGGCUAACUCCGUGCCAGCAGCCGCGGUAAUACGGAGGAUGCGAGCGUUAUCCGGAUUUAUGGGGUUAAAAGGGUGCGCAGGCGGUCUGUUAAGUCAGCGGUCAAAGCCCGGGGCUCAACCCCGGCCCGCCGUUGAAACUGGCAGUCUCGAGUUGGAGAGAAGUAGGCGGAAUGCGCGGUGUAGCGGUGAAAUGCAUAGAUAUCGCGCAGAACUCCGAUUGCGAAGGCAGCAUGCCGGCUCCACACUGACGCUGAGGCACGAAAGCGUGGGUAUCGAACAGGAUUAGAUACCCCGGUAGUC
rnacentral:rRNA from 1 species